CAAUUUUUGAAUAACUUACAAAAUCAAUACCCACUGAUUUUAUCUUUACACAUAUAACCCGUUACAGUGAUAAUCAUCUCUGGGCAUUACAGUGACAUCCACUUUAAUCACAAUUUUCGAUAAUGGUAAUGGACAUGAAUGCUUUCUAAUGUAUACAGAAGUCAUUUACAAUAAUAGCUAAACCAAAAUAGGAUAAGAUUAAUCCCUAGUUUAAACUUCUUACCAACAGUGACUUCAAGUUCACUCCUUAGCUUUAGAGUUUACUAAUCUGACCAACUAGUGGUCAGAUAUGCAAACUACAGCCCUGUGAUCAGUAGCAACAGCUCUUUACAUCCCAAAAUUAACACAAAUCCACAUAUUUCAUACACAGAACACUAUAGUAGAGCUUCUGUUUGAACUACUGCCAAAUCUGCAUGAUUUAAACAAAAACUUCAACCUUAUUGAAGACUAAAAGGGUUUAACAACUGAUGUCACAUGCUUAAAUGACCAUAGAUAUCAAAUUGACCCAUACAAUUGAUCUACUUCACUGUUUCCAACCCAGAUUGAAGUGAAAGGCGCAAUUAAACUACACAUUAAGAUAGCAAUAAACAAAUACUCAUAAAUCAAACAAGAAUAGCAACAUUUUUGGUCAUUCGAUAAAAAUAUAAUAUAUAGGGAAUUUGGCACUGACCUAGUUGAACGGGGAAACACUAAAAGACAAUCCAAAAAAGAGCCGAAUCUGAUCCAAACUAGCAACUCAACAGCAACUUCAGCAGUAGAACCAAGGUUUCAGCAGUCAGUCAAACUUGUAAAAUCGAAAGAAGUGAAGCAGACGAGCAAAAAUAGAGAAAAGUUUGGAAUUCCUUUUGUAUUUUAUUUUUGUUUUUUUCUGUAUUUAAACUGAGUUUUCAGGGUGUCUUCUUUUUGAAAAAAUCAGUGAGGAAGAGGAAAUGUAUCAGUAAUUUGUGC
rnacentral:lncRNA from 1 species